rnacentral:rRNA from 1 species
UACGUAGGGUGCGAGCGUUGUCCGGAAUUAUUGGGCGUAAAGGGCUCGUAGGCGGUUUGUCGCGUCGGGAGUGAAAACACCGGGCUUAACUCGGUGCUUGCUUUCGAUACGGGCAGACUAGAGGUAUGCAGGGGAGAACGGAAUUCCUGGUGUAGCGGUGAAAUGCGCAGAUAUCAGGAGGAACACCGGUGGCGAAGGCGGUUCUCUGGGCAUGACCUGACGCUGAGGAGCGAAAGUGUGGGGAGCGAACAGG